AUUGAACGCUGGCGGUAGGCCUAACACAUGCAAGUCGAACGGCAGCACAGUAAGAGCUUGCUCUUACGGGUGGCGAGUGGCGGACUGGUGAGGAAUACAUCGGAAUCUACUUUUUCGUGGGGGAUAACGUAGGGAAACUUACGCUAAUACCGCAUACGACCUACGGGUGAAAGCAGGGGAUCUUCGGACCUUGCGCGUUUGAAUGAGCCGAUGUCGGAUUAGCUAGUUGGCGGGGUAAAGGCCCACCAAGGCGACGAUCCGUAGCUGGUCUGAGAGGAUGAUCAGCCACACUGGAACUGAGACACGGUCCAGACUCCUACGGGAGGCAGCAGUGGGGAAUAUUGGACAAUGGGCGCAAGCCUGAUCCAGCCAUACCGCGUGGGUGAAGAAGGCCUUCGGGUUGUAAAGCCCUUUUGUUGGGAAAGAAAAGCAGCAGGUUAAUACCCCGCUGUUCUGACGGUACCCAAAGAAUAAGCACCGGCUAACUUCGUG
rnacentral:rRNA from 1 species